CGUAGGGAGCAAGCGUUGUCCGGAAUCAUUGGGCGUAAAGCGCGCGUAGGCGGCUCUGUAAAGUCCGUUGUGAAAGUCAAAGGCUCAACCUUUGAAAGCCGAUGGAUACUGCAGGGCUAGAGUCCGGAAGAGGCGAGUGGAAUCCUGGUGUAGCGGUGGAAUGCGCAGAUAUCAGGAGGAACACCCAUGCGAAGGCAGCUCGCUGGGACGGUACUGACGCUAAGGCGCGAAAGCGUGGGGAGCGAACAGG
rnacentral:rRNA from 1 species